rnacentral:rRNA from 1 species
AACGAACGCUGGCGGCAGGCUUAACACAUGCAAGUCGAACGCCACCUUCGGGUGGAGUGGCAGACGGGUGAGUAACGCGUGGGAACGUACCUUUCGGUUGGGAAUAUUCUCGGGAAACUGAAGGCAAUACAAAAUACGCCCUAUGGGGGAAAGAUUUAUUGCGGAACGAUGGGCCCGCGUAAGAUUAGGUAGUUGGUAGGGUAAUGGCCUACCAAGCCUACGACCUAUAGCUGGUCUGAGAGGAUGAUCAGCCACAUUGGGACUGAGACACGGCCCAAACUCCUACGGGAGGCAGCAGUGGGGAAUAUUGGACAGUGGGCGCAAGCCUGAUCCAGCCAUGCCGCGUGAAUGAUGUAGGCCUUAGGGUUGUAAAAUUCUUUCAACGGUGACGAUAAUGACGGUAACCGUAGAAGGAGCCCCGGCUAACUUCGUGCCAGCAGCCGCAGUAA